UGGCCAAUAGAGUGAGAGCAAAGUUCCAGAGGAAUUUCUAUUGGAGUAAUAUAGUAAAGCCACGCCCACUAUGCUCACAAAUUAAAAUCUGAAGGCGCAACUUUUUUUUCUCCGCACUUCUCCCACAAAACACUCGUGGAAGAGUAAGGAGUAUUUUCUUCACCUUUAUGGAUCAAAUACCAGUUUAGGAGCAAUAUUACAAUCCAGUAGAUGGGAGUGGGUUUCUGGCAUGGAGAGUGAAAGCACUUCAAAAAGAAGCAUCAGAGGGACAAAAGAAGAACAGAACCGCUCAGCUAAUGACGGGUGGUCCAAAUGCUUGUGACAGAAUCCCCUUCUGUGAGGAAAACCAGCUAACAGAAGCCCAGUGUUGUGAGGCCAUUGCACUGAUGAAGCAUACAACGGAUGAAGCAAUCAUCAAGAAGAUGAAACAGACCUUCACCUAUCGCCAAGCAAUGGUUCAUGAUCCAAUUAAGUCCUCUGAAAUAUUCACCACCUUUCCCAGAUUCCUUGACAUCGCAGGAAUGGUAUGUGGCUCUUCAACUGCCUUGCCUUAAGGUCAAGCUGAAAAUUAAAAAUGACUUAACCAUUUUACAUCACAUCACUGGUUAUAGUGUGCACCUA